rnacentral:rRNA from 1 species
GACGAACCGUGCGAACGUUGUUCGGAUUCACUGGGCUUAAAGGGCGCGUAGGCGGCUUGCCGAGUCAGGGGUGAAAUCUUUCGGCUUAACCGGAAAAGUGCUUCUGAUACUGGCAGGCUGGAGGGAGGUAGGGGCAGACGGAACUUCCGGUGGAGCGGUGAAAUGCGUAGAUAUCGGAAGGAACGCCGGUGGCGAAAGCGGUCUGCUGGACCUCUGCUGACGCUGAGGCGCGAAAGCCAGGGGAGCAAACGGG